ACACAUGCAAGUCGAACGAAGCAAUCAGAAUGAAGUUUUCGGAUGGAUUUCUGAUUGACUGAGUGGCGGACGGGUGAGUAACGCGUGGAUAACCUGCCUCACACUGGGGGAUAACAGUUAGAAAUGGCUGCUAAUACCGCAUAAGCGCACAGUACCGCAUGGUACGGUGUGAAAAACUCCGGUGGUGUGAGAUGGAUCCGCGUCUGAUUAGUUAGUUGGCGGGGUAACGGCCCACCAAGACAGCGAUCAGUAGCCGACCUGAGAGGGUGACCGGCCACAUUGGGACUGAGACACGGCCCAAACUCCUACGGGAGGCAGCAGUGGGGAAUAUUGCACAAUGGGCGAAAGCCUGAUGCAGCGACGCCGCGUGAGUGAAGAAGUAUUUCGGUAUGUAAAGCUCUAUCAGCAGGGAAGAAACUGACGGUACCUGACUAAGAAGCCCCGGCUAACUAC
rnacentral:rRNA from 2 species